ensembl:lncRNA
GUUUUCUACUUGGAGAUUUCUCUUAUUGGAGUAUUUGGGCCCAGAUGCUUGUGAUAGAAAAAUCAACUCCUUAAUCUGGCCCAGGUUUGCAUGAGUGCUUAUUUGGUAGGAUUGAGAAGAAGGAACAAGAAGAUGAACGAGGCAGGACUGCAUCUUUAAUGGUUUUAUGUGGAAAUCAAAUCAUGAACAGUGGGAAAGAAGGUACUAUCUUUUCUUGUGUGUGCUUUGAUACCAGGACCAUGUUCAGCAUGGAGUUGCUAAGGUACUUCUGAAAUCUGUCUUGAAGGGAUCUGCCUGAAACCGCACAUACAUCCUGUGACAAAGCAGAGACAUAAGUUCAGGUCUCAUGUAUUCUUGUAAUGAAUCACUAUGUGCCUUUUAGUGAAAAAGAUAGAAAUCAGAUUGAAUUUCGACGGUGAGAAAUUGAGAGCUUGUUCUACCAGCAGGAGUCUCAGGGCCUCUAAUUUUACUUCGGCGAGCAAAGAUGAACCAAGAAUAUCAGCAACCUACUUUCCUGCCAAAGAAAACACAGUAUCCUAAAACUCACACAGACAAUCUGAAACAGAGAUUUGUCUAAACUUCAGUGAUUUUACCUUGUUUUAAAUACAGCGAUACAUAAACAUAGCAGAGGCACCCGACUUUAUUAUAUAGGACUCAACAGUAUGAUAUAUUACAGUGGAAUAAAAUAGACUGGAACUUUCAUCUGCACAUCUUCUCUUGCUCACAUAGGUAAGGGUCAAGGGCUGCUCUCUCACUCUCCUAAAUCCCAGUCACACAUCAGUCUUGUCACCCUGAUAGUUAUACCACACAGCCCUGGAAUGUGGUAUUGGUACUUGGAGAGCAGAGUAUUUCUGCUGGCUGCUGCUGUCUUUGAUGAGACAUUUAGGUUAUUUGUAUCAAAUGAAUGCCUUCAAUUAAUUUAAUGUCUCCACAUGAACACUUCUAUUGGUUUCAGCUACUUAAAAUUGAAAUAAUAUCAUUAAUGUAUAAAUAGCAGAAUGUUUUGUUCUAUCUCCUGUGUGGUUUUCUGUUUUUUCCAUUUAUGCAUUGUCUGUUGUGUAGUCCAAAAGUAUGUUUUGUCACUGUAACGUAUCCUCAUAAUGCAUCUUCCUAUGUAGCAUCAUCAGAAAACAUAUCAGGCUGAUUCUUUUUCAUCACUUCAUAUUAUCUCGUGUCCUAAUGCUGUUACUUCACGCCCAGUUCUUGUCAUGUUUUUGCUUUAUCACCUUUCAUCUGUAUCAUAUUGUUUUACUUCCUUUCAUCUUGUGGUUUUCUGUCAAAUUAUUGUGUUACCUGGCUUGGUUGUUUUUACCACUAUGUCUCCACCUGAAAAAAAAAAAUAAUCAUAUAUUCUAAUCUUCUCACUGAUUUAUGAUAAAACAGUACCACUGUGCCUUGCAAUGGAGAGUUAGUUUUGUGUUGGUAUGAAUAAGGCAGUUUUUGUUAUCAGAAAAUUCUUGAGAAAAGUAAAGCAGUAAUCUCAAGUACUGUACAGCAAGGAGAAGCAUAGGGACUUCCUUUUCUUUCACAAUUUCUAUUCUAAAAAUUUCAACAGAGCUUAGCUACUUUCAAAAAGCCUUUGUGUAAUUCAGGUGUAAAAUUUUCAUCUCCAGAAGAGAGAUUCACAAUGGUGAAUCCAACAAAGAUCUGUGGUUGCUACCACUCGGGCCUCUUAGGGAAUAUGGAGGAGAUCUAAUUCUGGAUCAUAAUUGUGCCUAAAUGUGACUUUGAACAGGCCAACCCUGUCAAAGCCAGAGCUGUUGUCAAUAUAUUAGGUGGCUGUGAAUCUGUAUAUAAUUAAACCUUAUGUGAAAUACCACAGAAGUCAGCAAAUAAAAUAGCUAGGAUUGUAGUGACAGAUGAAAAUGUUACUGCCCUUUGUUGUUUCUCCCAUCCUUCUGCAGAAGUUUUUCCUCUGCAAUAAAGGGGAGUGAAUAU